rnacentral:rRNA from 1 species
AAGACUGCCGGUGACAAACCGGAGGAAGGUGGGGAUGACGUCAAAUCAUCAUGCCCCUUAUGACCUGGGCUACACACGUGCUACAAUGGGAAGUACAACGAGUCGCGAAGUCGCGAGGCUAAGCUAAUCUCUUAAAGCUUCUCUCAGUUCGGAUUGCAGGCUGCAACUCGCCUGCAUGAAGCCGGAAUCGCUAGUAAUCGCGGAUCA